AUGCUGGAAGUACAGGAAUUCGGGCGGAACGGGCUCCGUGAGGACGUUUGGGGUUUGCUGUCCUUGGCGUCUCCGGAGUCCCCAAGUCCCUGGGAUUGGGAUGAGCAGGGAUCCGUGGAAAUCCCUCUUUGGGAUGAGCAGGGAUCCAUGGAAAUCCCGCUUUGGGAUGAGCAGGGAUCCAUGGAAAUUCCACUUUGGGACACGCAGGGAUCCAUAGAAAUCCCGCUUUGGGAUGAGCAGGGAUCCGUGGAAAUCCCGCUUUGGGAUGAGCAGGGAUCCAUGGAAAUCCCACUUUGGGACACGCAGGGAUCCCCCAGGAUCGUGCCCUGGGCCUGGCACGGCUCAUCCGUGCCCAACUCCACCACCUCGAGGGUGCAGGGAUCCACGGCCGGGAGAUCCUGGCCGAGCUUUUCCAGGUUGUCCAGGCAGCUCGCGGUGGUUUUGGAGACCCCGAGCUCCUCCUGGGGCAGCGAGAAGGUCCCGUCGGAGUCAGGGGGACAAAGCUCCACGGUCAGGAUGGAUUUCUGCAGCGGGAACCUCAUCACGCACAUCCCAGGGGUCUCGAAGGUCAAGGGUUCCUCUCCCGAGCUCGGGAUUUUCACGGGAUCGGAAUCCGCGGGGAGGGACGGGGAGGUGACCCCGAGGGGGACCUGGGGAGGGUCACAGGGACAGGAGGGACAAAGGUCCUGGCACGGGCAGGGAUCCGCCGCGGAAUUCUGCUCCGGGGCCGCCACGGCGCAGGGAUGGCUCUGGGCAGCCUCUUCCAGGCAGGAGCAGGGCGGGCACUGGGAAUUCAUCUCCCUGAGACGACGGCGGAGAGCUGCGAGAAAAAGGAACAAUUUCACACCCAAUCCCAUGAAAAACCAGGGGGAAAUUCCUCAUUUUUUCACUUUUCUCUUCAAACGCCCAAAAUCAGCUUUUCUCAUUAAAAUCUGCUCUCAGCCGAACAAUUCCAACAACUUGCCAGCUUUUUUGGGGGGUGAUAACAAUGGAUUUGAUUCACGUUUUCAGGUUUAUAAAUUUCAAAUAACUCCCUUCCCUUCUCCAGUUGUUUUUCCUUCCUCCAGUGAUUUUUCCCUUCUCCAGUUGUUUGGAAUGGAUCCUGGAUCUCCUGGCAGGACGGGGUUUAAUCCCACUAAAUCCACUGCUGGAACAACAGGAAUUUUCCAGAACAUCCCUGUGAAUUCCAGAAUUACAGCCAAGGGAAGGAUUUUACCCUCUGAAACCUUUAUCCCUGAGGAAACUGAGCACCACAAAUCCCCCUUUUUCAGCUUUCCAGGGAAUCUAUUCUGGAAAAGGACAAGGAGGAUCUGCAGGAUCCCAAGGAGACUCACCGUGUCGGGAUCGGCAGGAUGCUCCUGGUGUGUUCCCGGGAUGUUCCUGGUGUGUUCCCGGGAUGUUCCUGGUGUGUUCCCGGGAUGUUCCUGGUGUGCUCCCGGGAUGUUCCUGGUGUGUUCCCGGGAUGUUCCUGGUGUGUUCCCGGCCUUCGGAGCCGCCGAGCCCCAGGCACCCGGAGCUCUGCACGGCCUUGCUCCGCCUCUGCCCCGCCAGGGAUGA
rnacentral:lncRNA from 1 species